rnacentral:rRNA from 1 species
CACGUAGGGUGCGAGCGUUGUCCGGAAUCAUUGGGCGUAAAGCGCGUGUAGGCGGCCCGGUAAGUCCGCUGUGAAAGUCCAGGGCUCAACCCUGGGAUGCCGGUGGAUACUGUCGGGCUCGAGUCCGGAAGAGGCGAGUGGAACUCCUGGUGUGAGCGGUGAAAUGCGCAGAUAUCAGGAGGAACACCAAUGGCGAAGGCAGCUCGCUGGGACGUGACUGACGCUGAGACGCGAAAGCGUGGGGAGCAAACAGG